CAACCCCCAGCUGCCCGCCCGCUCCCGGUAACGGGGCACUGGGCUGGGAUUUAGGGGAUGGGGUUUGUGGGAAUUCCUGUUUGAGGCUUAAAUCCUGGAUUUUCACUUGAGUAUCCCACUGGUUUCACAGUUGAAAUGGGAUUUAUGGGGUGGGAUCUAUGGGAAUUCCCAUUGUGCCCUCAACCCCCAGCUGCCCGCCCGCUCCCGGUAACGCCGCUGGGCUGGGAUUUAGGGGAUGGGGUUUAUGGGAAUUCCUGUUUGAGGCUUAAAUCCUAGAUUUUCACCUGAUCCUGUUGAUUUCAGAGCGGAAAUGGGGUGGGAUUUAUGGGAAUUCCCAUUUGUGCCCUCAACCCCCAGCUGCCCACCCACUCCCGGUAACACCGCUGGGGUGGGAUUUAGGGGAUGGGGUUUGUGGGAAUUCCUGUUUGAGUCCUGAAUUCCGGGGUUUUUACCUGGUCCCGUUGAUUUCUCAGAGGAGAUAAUGGGGUGGGAUUUAUGGGAAUUCCUGUUUGAGUCCUCAACCUGCAGCUGCCUGGGAGAUCCCAGUGCUGUCCCUGAUGUCCCUGUCUCUGUCCCUGUCCCUGCUGUCCCUGAUGUCCCUGUCUCUGUCCCUGAUGUCCCUGUCUCUGUCCCUGUCCCUGCUGUCCCUAGGUGUCCCUGUCCCCAGGUGCCCCAGGUGCUGUCCCCGCUGUCCCUGUCCCCAGGUGCUGUCCAUGCUGUCCCUGUCCCUGAUGUCCCUGUCCCUGUCCCCAGGUGCCCCAGGUGCUGUCCAUGCUGUCCCUGAUGUCCCUGCUGCUCCUGUCCCUGCUGUCCCUGAUGUCCCUGUCUCUGUCCCUGUCCCUGAUGUCCCUGCUGCUCCUGUCCCUGCUGUCCCUGAUGUCCCUGUCUCUGUCCGUGAUGUCUCUGUCCCUGUCCCCAGGUGCCCCAGGUGCUGUCCCUGUCCCUGAUGUCCCUGUCCCUGUCCCCAGGUGCCACGCCAUUGCCCAGUUUAACCGGGGUCUCUACGAUUUCAUCGUGGCCACCGACGAGGAGGGGCCGGCAGAGCCGCCCCGGCAGCGCCCGCGCCGGGGGGACACGGCCAGGAAGGGUGGCAGCAGGGGACAGUCCCCGCCGUGUCCCCAGGACCCCGAGUUCGGGGUCUCUCGUGGCAUCGAUUUCCAGAACGUCGCCGCCGUCAUCAACUUCGAUGUCCCCAACUCGGUGGAGACGUACAUCCACCGCGUGGGCAGGUCUGCACUGUGUCACCUGUGUCACCUCAGUGUCACCUGUGUCACCUGUCACUGUGUCACUGUGUCACCUGGGGCUUGGGGGGUCACAGCUUCGAUGUCCCCAACUCGGUGGAGACGUACAUCCACCGCGUGGGCAGGUCUGCACUGUGUCACCUCGGUGUCACUGUGUCACCUGUCACUGUGUCACCACAGGGUCACCAGGGUGUCCCCCAGGUCCCUGUGUCCCUGUCCCCAUGGUGUUCCCAUGGUCCCUGGUGUCUGUGUCCCCGUGUCCCUGUCCCCGUGUCCCUGUCCCUUGGGUGACCCCAGGGUGUCCCUGUCCCCAGGGGUGUCCCCAUGGUGUCCCUGUCCUCCAUGUUCCUGUUCCCGUGUCCCUGUCCCCGUGUCCCUGUCCCUUGGGUGACCCCAGGGUGUCCCUGUCCUCCAUGUUCCUGUCCCCGUGUCCCUGUCCCCGUGUCCGUGUGUCCAUGUCCCCUGUGUCCCUGUCCCUGUGUCCCUGUCCCUUGGGUGACCCCAGGGUGUCCCUGUCCUCCAUGUUCCUGUUCCCGUGUCCCUGUCCCCGUGUCCCUGUCCCUUGGGUGACCCCAGGGUGUCCCUGUCCUCCGUGUCCCUGUCCCCAUAUCCCUGUCCCCACAUGUCCCUGUCUCCAUGUCCCUGUCCCCGUGUCCCUGUCCCCAUAUCCCUGUCCCCACAUGUCCCUGUCCCCGUGUCCCAGUCCCCGUGUCCGUGUCCCCACGUGUCCCUGUCCCCGUGUCCGUGUCCCCACGUGUCCCCACGUGUCCCUGUCCCCGUGUCCCUGUCCCCAUAUCCCUGUCCCCGUGUCCCUGUCCCCACGUGUCCCUGUCCCCGUGUCCCUGUCCCUAUAUCCCCGUCCCCAUGUCCCUGUCCCUGUGUCCCUGUCCCCGUGUCCCCGUGUCCGUGUCCCCACGUGUCCCUGUCCCCGUGUCCGUGUCCCCACGUGUCCCUGUCCCCGUGUCCCUGUCCCCAUAUCCCUGUCCCCGUGUCCGUGUCCCCACGUGUUCCUGUUCCCUUGUCCCUGUCCCCGUGUCCGUGUCCCCUGUGUCCCUGUCCCCGUGUCCAUGUCCCCGUGUCCGUGUCCCCACGUGUCCCCACGUGUCCCUGUCCCCGUGUCCGUGUCCCCGUGUCCCUGUCCCCACGUGUCCCCGUGUCCCCGUGUCCCUGUCCCUAUAUCCCUGUCCCCGUGUCCCUGUCCCCACGUGUCCCCGUGUCCCCGUGUCCGUGUCCCCACGUGUCCCUGUUCCCUUGUCCCUGUCCCCGUGUCCGUG
rnacentral:lncRNA from 1 species